CACAUGCAAGUCGAGGGGCAGCAUAAAAGUAGCAAUACUUGGUGGCGACCGGCGCGACGGGUGAGUAACGCGUAUGCAACCUACCUAGUCAGAGGGGAAUAACCCGGCGAAAGUCGGACUAAUACCGCAUAAAACAGGGACACCGCAUGGUGAUAUUUGUUAAAGAAAUUCGCUGAUAGAUGGGCAUGCGUUCCAUUAGGUAGUUGGGUGAGGUAACGGCUCACCAAGCCGACGAUGGAUAGGGGAACUGAGAGGUUGGUCCCCCACACUGGUACUGAGACACGGACCAGACUCCUACGGGAGGCAGCAGUGAGGAAUAUUGGUCAAUGGGCGAGAGCCUGAACCAGCCAAGUCGCGUGAAGGAAGAAGGAUCUAUGGUUCGUAAACUUCUUUUGCAGGGGAAUAAAGUGCAGGACGUGUCCUGUUUUGUAUGUACCCUGAGAAUAAGGAUCGGCUAACUCCGUGCCAGCCGCCGC
rnacentral:rRNA from 1 species